GUUUAGGUUUGGGCUUUAUUUUUUAUUUAACUAAACCUAGAAACCUAACACGCUACGAGGCGUAAGUCACGAGGCUCUUUUCCUCUACCACUUCGUCUUCUCCACCACUCUAAAUUCAAACACAUUAGGAGCUAAACUUAUGAUUCCCUACAUUGUAUCUAGAGGCUAUGGUCAAAAUAUUUAGUGCCUGUUCAGAGAAAAUGAUACUGAAGUAUGAGAAUAAGAGAGAAACAAGUCUCAAGCGGAGGGACACAAUCAAGUUGGAUCUUGAAGUGGAAUACAUAGGUUCUUAUGUUAAGCUAUAGAUGCGAAGUGGAGUACAUUAACAUGCUUCACUUAAUCAAUUGAGUAGCAUCAAAGUUGCUUUUUCUUGCAUAGCGCACACUCAAUAUUGAGCUCAAGAUUAAAGAAGUCAUGGAGUCCAGUUCGAAAAUAGGGAAACGAGGAUAUUAGUUUAUAUUGUAACGAGGAUAUAUAUCCAUGCUUUGUAGUCAGAUUAUGAGACAGGAAUAAUAUGCAUUUCCCCUGCAACUCCACUAAUUAUGUGGAUUAUAGAUCACCUUUUGCAUAA